rnacentral:lncRNA from 1 species
CAGCAUCCAUGAGUCCCACAUCUUCGAGCUGCUGGUGGAGGUGACGGACAGCCUCAGCGCGCCACGCCACAGCACCACAGCCACACUGGUCGUGCACGUGACGCCCUGGGCCACUACCACUCCCAGCACCACCACUACGCGCACAACCCUGCAGAAGAAGCCGCUAGUUGUCACCCGCAUCGAGCGGUUCUGGGCACCCUCGCCCUGGUUCGUGGCGGUGCUGACCGUCUCCAUGGUGCUGCUGCUGGUGGCGCUGGCAUGGCUGUCAUGGAAACUCCUGUGCAGGCCUGCUCCAGGCAAGUCAGCGCAGCCACUCCUACAGGACAGGGCCUCGUCAGACUCACAUGUGGCAAAGAACAACGCAGCCCCGGGAGAGCUGGACAAGGAGACAGGCCGCGCCAGCGUCCUCAGCCUGCAGGAGCAGUUUGAUGGCCGUGCCCAGGACCCCA